AGAAUCAACGCUGGCGGCGUGCCUAACACAUGCAAGUCGAACGAGAAAGUGGAGCAAUCCAUGAGUAAAGUGGCGCACGGGUGAGUAACACGUGACUAACCUACCUUUUAGUGGGGGAUAACCUAGGGAAAACCUGGGCUAAUACCGCAUAAUACUUACGAGUCAAAGCAGCAAUGCGCUGAAAGAGGGGGUCGCGGUCGAUUAGUUAGUUGGCAGGGUAAUGGCCUACCAAGACUGUGAUCGAUA
rnacentral:rRNA from 1 species